AUCUUGUAAAGAUGAAAUAUCAUAAUUCAGUUAUCCCUGUCUGAAUGCAGAUUUGUGUCGAUUUUUUUUUUUGAUUCUGAU
rnacentral:snoRNA from 1 species